AAACCAGCACCUCAAGUGGUCAGGAGGAUUAUUGGGCCUAAAGCAUCCGUAGCCUGUUCUAUAAGUUUUCGGUUAAAUCCACUAGCUCAACUAGUGGGCUGCCGAAAAUACUGUAGAACUAGGGAGUGGGAGAGGUAGACGGUAUUCGGUAGGAAGGGGUAAAAUCCUUUGAUCUAUUGAGGACCACCUGUGGCGAAGGCGGUCUACCAGAACACGUUCGACGGUGAGGGAUGAAAGCUGGGGGAGCAAACCGGAUUAGAAACCCGAGUAGUCC
rnacentral:rRNA from 1 species